UAGAGUGGGCUGCCACAGAAGGUUUGCAGCAGCUUGUCCUUAUGGUAGAGGUUUGACAGCCCAAAGUCAGCAAUCUGUGAAAACAGGGGUCCUAUCCUGCAUAGCAACUUCUGACCUCAUCAUGAAGCCUUGCUGAUGUGACAGUCUCUUUAGUCAACGCUGCAGAAGUGGCUCACCUCUCUGCCUGAGUGCCUCUCGAUGGCCUUCUUGACCUUUCCGUAGGUGCCUCGUCCCAGCGUCUCC